GUUCCACUCACGUCAACCCUAGCCGAGGGUUCAUUUCGCGCAUCAUUCCACACAUACUCAUGCCAUCUAUUUGAGCCGUAUAAUUAUUGAAACAUUCCUUCGCUACGGUGGCGGAAGUAGCUUUUCAGUUUCUUUGGAUUUAGCUCACAAGACAAUGCUGCCUAUUUAGAAUAUCUUCCAAAUAGGUUCUAGGGAUCCAUGGCAUAAUUCCCUAUAUAUCUUUCUUGGGAAUCCGGUCAGAGUUGACAAUUGUCGUUUAUGCACAACUUUCCAAUAUUGCUGUAAAAAGAAAAUGGUUGGAUAUUCGCUGUCCCAUAUUUCAUCAAGUGCUAUUGCAUUUCCUUCAUAUUUGAUCACACCCACUAAGCAACAUUGUUCUUUGAAAAUUUCGCCAUGCCUGGAAACUCCGUUAAGGCAUAAAAGAAAAGUCUUAUGUGUAAAAGCUACGUCAUCCGCUGAUAGGGGUCAUACUCAACCACAACCAACAUCUUCUUCCGAAUCAAAGAGUCCACUCUCAGUAAUUUUUGAUGUUCCUCGAACCAUUUGGAGGCAAACUCUGAGGCCUUUGAGCGAUUUUGGGUUCGGUAGGAGGAGCAUUUGGGAAGGUGGUGUUGGAUUGUUUCUUAUUUCAGGGACAGUCCUCUUGGCACUUAGCUUAGCAUGGUUGAGGGCGUUUCAGUUGCGAUCAAAGGUCCGAAAGUAUUUGGCUGUGUUUGAGUUUGAUAAGGCUAGUGGUAUGUGCACUGGUACACCUGUUAGGAUUAGAGGUGUAACUGUUGGCAAUGUCAUACGUGUCAAUCCUUCCCUGAAGAGUAUUGAGGCUGUAGUUGAGGUUGAAGAUGAUAAAAUUAUAAUACCUCAAAAUUCAUUGAUUGAGGUGAACCAGUCAGGUCUUCUGAUGGAAACUAUGAUUGAUAUCACACCGCGUAAUCCUAUUCCAACACCUUCAGUGAGUCCUCUUCAUGCAGAUUGUGUUAAAGAAGGUUUGAUUGUGUGUGACAAACAGAAGAUAAAGGGAUACCAAGGGGUUAGUUUAGAUGAAUUAGUUGGAAUAUUUACUCGCAUUGGGCGUGAAAUGGAAGAAAUUGGCGUUGCAAACACUUAUUCAUUGGCUGAACGAGUUUCCUCCGUUAUUGAAGAAGCACGGCCUUUGCUUAUACAGGUCUUGUCCCUAUCCCUUAACUGCAACUGCUCUGAUUUUGCUGCAAGGCUGGUCAGUGAUGUCUCAGAUCAAAGCCAUGGCUGAUGAUGUUCAACCUUUGCUGGCAGAAGUUCAUGGUAGUGGUUUGCUGAAGGAAGUUGAAAAUUUAACUAAAAGCCUUACAGAGGCUUCUGAGGAUUUGAGAAGGGUGCAUUCGUCCAUUAUGACUCCUGAGAACACAGAAUUAAUUCAGAAGUCUAUAUAUACCCUCAUUUUCACUUUGAAGAACAUCGAGAGUAUAAGUUCAGAUAUAUUAGGAUUUACUGGUGAUGAAGCUACAAGGAGAAAUCUGAAAUUGCUUAUUAAAUCACUCAGCAGGCUGCUAUGAAGAGGAAAAUUAUAAAUCAAUUUCAAAGUUAGUAAAAUUGCUGAUAAAAGUUUCUUAUUGUACUUUGUUUAUUCUGUGUUGCUGAUAGGGCGCUGCAUAAUUGAUAUUGAGCUACUUUUGUUGUCAGUUUUCGUGGAGCCGAUUUGAUGUGAUACCCUUUUGAUCCUUGUCCCAUGGCAACUUGUGUUUGCCAUGAAUUACACGGUCAAGUUUUCGAAUACUACAGCCUGCUUUGUUGUCCAGUCUUGAAAAUUUGAUGGUAAAACGAGUUGUACCUAAUUUUGAAAGGUGUAAAAUUUGCUAGUGCUCCUGAACCAUAUUGGAUGGCACUCUCUUUGGACGCUGGCAAUUAUAUUUAUGACAUCAUAGGCCAAUUUCUUUUCAGAAAACUCUCUUCAAUUGAUGCUUAUUUUUUAUUAUGAUGUGAUUCUUCCUGAAUGACCAUUCAAACUGGAAGAAAAAGUGUGUGUAGAUAUUUUAUGUUGGACGCAGACCAUUUCUGCAUUUGAGAAUAAAGAUAGCUCUGUUUUCUCUUC